rnacentral:lncRNA from 10 species
UUUGACUGUAAUUUUCCUUUACCCAAACCCUAUAAAACAGCCCCACCCCUAUCUUCGGACUCAGCCCGCCUGCACCCAGGUGAAAUAAACAGCCUUGUUGAUCACACAAAGCCUGUUUGAUGGUCUCUUCACACUGACGUGAGUGAAAUUUUGGUGCCGUGACUCGGAUCUGGGGAGUCACAAUCCGAGAUCAAUCCCCUGUCCUCCUGCUCUUUGCUCCACCUACGACCUCGGGUCCUCAGACCAACCAGCCCAAGGAACAUCUCACCAGUUUUAAAUCCGGACCCCACUGAAAAUCGUACUGUCCAACUCACCUGGCAGCCACUUCCAGAGUCCCUGGAACUCUGGCCCAAGGCUCUGUGACUGACUCCUUCCCAGAUCUUCUCAGCUUAGCAGCUGAAGACUGACGCUGCCCAAUCGCCUCAGAAGCCCCCUGGACCAUCACAGACGCCAAGCUUCAGGUCAUCCUUUCCCCAUGGCUGCAUAAAAUAGAUUGAAUCAAAUGGAGCCCAUCAUGCUGGCUGCUUCUCUCCGCUGGGGCCAGGAGCAGCCUGACUGCAGAGUCAGCUGAAGACAGACAGCAGUCAGAGUGCUGGCCUUCUCCUUCCAAAAACACAGCCGUUCAAGUUCACAGAGACUGAAGAAUACGAUAAACACAGAUAAACGUGCUUGACGGACAGACAACCGGGCAGUGAUCUGCUGGGUUCAGCCAAUGUGAUGAGCAGAAGUGGGAAGAAAUCAGUCUCCUGUGCGGAUAGAAUCAGGAAACCCGUCUAAUCCCACUCUUCUCCAUUCCAUUCUCCAUACCGAAACCAGUGUCAUCUUCAAUGAGAUAAAGCAUAUCUAUAUCACACCCCUGUUUACAAAAAACCAUCACUACUGUCUCCGCUGCAUUUGUCUUAAUCGCAUAAUCCGGCUCCUAGUUCUUGGGCCAGUUUUACCAUGUGCCAGUUCCCCCGAACCAGUUUCUCCCAUUGGAAGGUUUUGUCUCUCUGCACAGCUCUGACCUCUGCCUGUGUUGCUCUUUCCCCAGAGCCUUGCCUGGCUGACUUCUACUCCUCCCUCAUGUGGCAGGAAAUCUCACCUUUGCAGAAAGACCUUCCAUGCCAACCUACACAGCAAAGGUCUUCUCCCAGGCCAUGCCCCUUUCAACUCUCAGCUCCUCACUUGUUUUCAUCAUAACAAUUACCCCAAAUGAUAAUGAUGGUUUUUUUUUUUUUUUUUUUGAAACAGAGUCUUGUUCUGUUGCCCAGGCUGGAAUGCUGUGGCGUUAUCUUGGCUCACUGCAACCUCCCACUUCCUGGGUUCAAGCAAUUCUCGUGACUCAGCCACCUGAGUAGCUGGGAUUACAGGUGUGUACCACCAUGCUCAGAUAAUUUUUGUAUUUUUAGUAGAGUUGGGGUUUCAUCAUGUUGGCUAGGCAAUUACAGGCGUGAGCCACUGCGCCCAGUUACAAUGGAUCUUAUGUAUCUGACCACUUACCCGUUUUGUCCUUCCUUCCUAGUAGAAUUGGACUCCCAUGCAAGUGGAGACCCAGUCAGUCUUGUUCACUGCAAUCUCCCCAGGGCCUGCCACAUCUAAAAGACAUAUUUUCUGAUAAAUGAAUCAUAACAGUUG